CCCUAGUCUUAAACUCGAGUCAAUAAGUUUUCCCAGUAUUUGGGGGUAAAAUUAGGGGUCUCGACUUAUAUUUGGGUCGACUUAUACUCGAGUAUAUACGGUAAUAUGUGUGGGUACAGUAAUUGAGUAAGAGGAAAAUCACCGCCGAAAUUUAAAAAGAGCCCCGGUCCUUACUGGUAAGAAAAUAAAAAAAUGGUCUGGUCACUAAGGGGUUA